CCUACGGGGGACAGCAGUGAGGAAUAUUGGUCAAUGGACGAGAGUCUGAACCAGCCAAGUAGCGUGAAGGAUGACUGCCCUAUGGGUUGUAAACUUCUUUUAUAUGGGAAUAAAAUGUUCCACGUGUGGGAUUUUGUAUGUACCAUAUGAAUAAGGAUCGGCUAACUCCGUUCCAUCAGCCGCGGUAAUACGGAGGAUCCGAGCGUUAUCCGGAUUUAUUGGGUUUAAAGGGAGCGUAGGUGGAUUGUUAAGUCAGUUGUGAAAGUGUGCGGCUCAACCGUAAAAUUGCAGUUGAAACUGGCAGUCUUGAGUACAGUAGAGGUGGGCGGAAUUCGUGGUGUAGCGGUGAAAUGCUUAGAUAUCACGAAGAACUCCGAUUGCGAAGGCAGCUCACUGGACUGCAACUGACACUGAGGCUCGAAAGUGUGGGUAUCAAACAGGAUUAGAUACCCCAGUAGUC
rnacentral:rRNA from 1 species